GGCUGCCAAAACUCAUAUUAGUCACUCAAGGAAAUGCAGCUAACUACCGCUCCAUGCUGCCACCCAGGUCACCGAGGAUGUGGAUACCAUCCAAAAGCUUCCCAUAUCUUUCUUCUUCAUUUUGUUUUUCAGGGACAACUGAACAUAGGUCAGGAUGGGGAAAUUAAGGGUCAAGAUUUCAAAGGAAUAGCAAAGACAAGUGCAAUGGUAGGCAAAAAAAAUGCCCUCUAAAGUGAAAGUACUGGAUUUGUUCCUACAGAGGUUCUUUUGCAAAGCAUCAAGGAUACAGGUUAAAUGACAUCAUAUCCUAGACAUGGAUGUUUCCAUUAUACAGUUUGCAAUCCAGUUAAACAAAUCUCUGAUAAUAGUAGGACAGACUACACACAAACACAGAUUACCCAGUAUAAGUUGAAUUACUCACUGGUCACAUAGAAAGAAAAAUUCACGGUGAUAUAUCUGCAUCGAUAAUCGUACAUAAGAGAUAUAUGAUCCACUAAGCAAAAAACUGUGAUAUAUUUGCUUCAACAUACAGAUAUGGAACAUUCAUUCCACUAUACAUUUACCUUCUGGGAUAAUGACCAUGUUUAUACAUUUGAGCAUACAAUUUUUACUUUUACAAUUAAGAACGCCUGAUAAUUCAGAUUUCAGAAAACAUUGAUAAGACGCUGCCAUUCCGACAGUUUCAGAUCAAAACAUUGAGGUUGCCGGUAGUGGAAAAGCCGAUGCGGAGUAUUUCGGUGAGGAGGUUGCCGUCGUCGAGCACCUUGGAUACAGUGGCCGCAGCUGCCAGUGGGGAAUGCCGCUCUAUGUCACCACACACACACAUACCCAAUUUCUUCUCGGGUUCGGCACUGGGAAUCGGCAUUGAAAAAUAAAAGAAUGCAAAUGGACGGCAACGCAGUGGAUUGAUUUAUUCAGACUGCAAAUGUUUGCAAUCCAACACACAACACACAGCUAAGUGCAGCAGAGCAUACGCAAAUUACAAACUGCUGCACGAACUGAAAUUUGGGAGAGAAUCCAAGAAAUAGAGAGAGACCGGAUCUUGAUUACCACUGGGGAAUCUCAGCAAGAUCCAUCUAUCCCCACCCUUAGCUCCCACGACGAGUAAAGAAUAUGGAUCUAGCUAGGAUUUCCCCACGAGAGAAGAGAAGAAAUUGGGAAAGGAAGGGGAGGAGAAGAUAGCUCACAUCAAAACACAUGAGGGGAGAAGAAUCACUGGUCGCUGGCCGCCGGGAACGGGCUCAGGUCGCCGGCCAAUUCGCGGCGGAGCAUCGUUUCGCCCGGUCGGGCGUCGAUGUGUUGUGUGUUGAAUCUUCUUCUUUUUUGAGGGGUUGUUGUGUGUCGAAUCAGACGAGCUGAAGCGAGCUGCAGAGCGAAGCUGAG
rnacentral:rRNA from 1 species